CCGUACCGCAAACCGACACAGGUAGUCAAGAUGAGAAUUCUAAGGUGAGCGAGCGAACUCUCGUUAAGGAACUCGGCAAAAUGACCCCGUAACUUCGGGAGAAGGGGUGCUCUUUGAGGUUCACGCUUCGAAGAGCCGCAGUGAAUAGGCCCAAGCGACUGUUUAUCAAAAACACAGGUCUCUGCUAAACCGUAAGGUGACGUAUAGGGGCUGACGCCUGCCCGGUGCUGGAAGGUUAAGAGGAGUGGUUAGCGCAAGCGAAGCUACGAAUCGAAGCCCCAGUAAACGGCGGCCGUAACUAUAACGGUCCUAAGGUAGCGAAAUUCCUUGUCGGGUAAGUUCCGACCCGCACGAAAGGCGUAACGAUUUGGGCACUGUCUCAACGAGAGACUCGGUGAAAUCAUAGUACCGGUGAAGAUGCCGGUUACCCGCGACAGGACGGAAAGACCCCGUGGAGCUUUACUGUAGCCUGAUAUUGAAAUUCGGUACAGUUUGUACAGGAUAGGUAGGAGCCUUAGAAGCGUGAGCGCUAGCUUACGUGGAGGCAUUGGUGGGAUACUACCCUAAUUGUAUUGGAUUUCUAACCCGCAGCACUUAUCGUGCUGGGAGACAGUGUCAGGCGGGCAGUUUGACUGGGGCGGUCGCCUCCUAAAGAGUAACGGAGGCGCUCAAAGGUUCCCUCAGAAUGGUUGGAAAUCAUUCAUAGAGUGUAAAGGCAUAAGGGAGCUUGACUGCGAGACCUACAAGUCGAGCAGGGUCGAAAGACGGACUUAGUGAUCCGGUGGUUCCGCAUGGAAGGGCCAUCGCUCAACGGAUAAAAGCUACCCCGGGGAUAACAGGCUUAUCUCCCCCAAGAGUUCACAUCGACGGGGAGGUUUGGCACCUCGAUGUCGGCUCAUCGCAUCCUGGGGCUGUAGUCGGUCCCAAGGGUUGGGCUGUUCGCCCAUUAAAGCGGUACGCGAGCUGGGUUCAGAACGUCGUGAGACAGUUCGGUCCCUAUCCGUCGUGGGCGUAGGAAAUUUGAGAGGAGCUGUCCUUAGUACGAGAGGACCGGGAUGGACAUACCUCUGGUGUACCAGUUGUCGUGCCAACGGCAUAGCUGGGUAGCUAUGUAUGGACGGGAUAAGUGCUGAAAGCAUCUAAGCAUGAAGCCCCCCUCGAGAUGAGAUUUCCCAACUUC
rnacentral:rRNA from 1 species